rnacentral:lncRNA from 1 species
GCCUUUGUUGGUAAUGUCCAUUUGCAUAGUAGCUGUCCAAUUUACAAGGAAAAUGACACUUCAAUAUGGCACGAAAACAAAUGACUUAAUAGUAUGUAAAUGCAUUCAUAUCCAAACUUAAGAUUCUCCAACGAAGAAGGAAUAAGAUUUUGCUCCCUGUCAAUUAUGUGUGUGUACAAAAAGUUCUACUCGACUCAAGAAGUUCUUCCAUUCAUAUUUCUUACAGAAAAAUGGAAUAUAAAUAAAACGAGUAUAAGGAGAAACAUAUUAAUUCUUAACAGUCGAUUUUGGGUGAGAAAAUAAAGGCUAGGGGCCGUCCUGUCAAUCUCCAAGAAACAUCCGUUUCUUGGUUGUGUUCAUGUAUGGCCUGAUGACCCAUUCAUUUUGAGCUUCAUCUUGAUCCAUUGUCCCUAGCUUGAUCUGUAAAUCAGAAAAAGAAACUGAUCAAGUUCUGGAGGAAUAAGCCUCAACAGACAGCAUAAAUUAAAUAUCAACCAACUAAAGUACGCGAUUAAGUGUUCAAUACAAUUACAUCAAUUAGCAUCCGAUCAAAGAGGAAUAAGCCUCGAGAGACACAAACAAAAAGAAGCAGAAAAGAAAUGAGGAACCUUCUACAUUCAAGCGCCAAUCCCUCGAGCGCUUGG